rnacentral:rRNA from 1 species
UGGCUGGUGUUCUAACGUAGACCCGUGAUCCGGGUUGCGGACAGUGUCUGGUGGGUAGUUUGACUGGGGCGGUCUCCUCCCAAAGAGUAACGGAGGAGCACGAAGGUUGGCUAAUCCUGGUCGGACAUCAGGAGGUUAGUGCAAUGGCAUAAGCCAGCUUGACUGCGAGCGUGACGGCGCGAGCAGGUGCGAAAGCAGGUCAUAGUGAUCCGGUGGUUCUGAAUGGAAGGGCCAUCGCUCAACGGAUAAAAGGUACUCCGGGGAUAACAGGCUGAUACCGCCCAAGAGUUCAUAUCGACGGCGGUGUUUGGCACCUCGAUGUCGGCUCAUCACAUCCUGGGGCUGAAGUAGGUCCCAAGGGUAUGGCUGUUCGCCAUUUAAAGUGGUACGCGAGCUGGGUUUAGAACGUCGUGAGACAGUUCGGUCCCUAUCUGCCGUGGGCGCUGGAGAAUUGAGGGGGGCUGCUCCUAGUACGAGAGGACCGGAGUGGACGCAUCACUGGUGUUCGGGUUGUCAUGCCAAUGGCACUGCCCGGUAGCUAAAUGCGGAAGAGAUAAGUGCUGAAAGCAUCUAAGCACGAAACUUGCCCCGAGAUGAGUUCUCCCUGAGACCUUGAGUCUCCUGAAGGAACGUUGAAGACGACGACGUUGAUAGGUCGGGUGUGUAAGCGCAGCGAUGCGUUGAGCUAACCGAUACUAAUGAACCGUGAGGCUUAACCUU